GUUUCAAGGUAGAAGAGCUGCAGGAAUACAAGGAGUCAUAGUACCACUAAUCAGGAGGUCUAGAAGGAGUCAUAGUUCCACUAAUCAGGAGGUCUAGAAGGAGUCAUAGUUCCACUAAUCAGGAGGUCUAGAAGGAGUCAUAGUUCCACUAAUCAGGAGGUCUAGAAGGAGUCAUAGUUCCACUAAUCAGGAGUUCAAGAAGGAGUCAUAGUUCCACUAAUCAGGAGGUCUAGAAGGAGUCAUAGUUCCACUAAUCAGGAGGUCUAGAAGGAGUCAUAGUUCCACUAAUCAGGAGGUCUAGAAGGAGUCAUAGUUCCACUAAUCAGGAGGUCUAGAAGGAGUCAUAGUUCCACUAAUUAGGAGGUCUAGUAGGAGUCAUAGUACCACUAAUCAGGAGGUCUAGUAGGAGUCAUAGUUCCACUAAUCAGGAGGUCUAGAAGGAGUCAUAGUUCCACUAAUCAGGAGGUCUAGAAGGAGUCAUAGUUCCACUAAUCAGGAGGUCUACAAGGAGUCAUAGUACCACUAAUCAGGAGGUCUAGAAGGAGUCAUAGUUCCACUAAUCAGGAGGUCUAGAAGGAGUCAUAGUUCCACUAAUCAGGAGGUCUAGAAGGAGUCAUAGUUCCACUAAUCAGGAGGUCUAGAAGGAGUCAUAGUUCCACUAAUCAGAGCUCCUAAAAUGACUCCACAGACAGUGAACUACUUUCUCCAUCCAGCUGUAAAAAUAGACAUCAGCUGCUUCAGACUUGGUUCAGGGGUUCUCCAU